UACGAAGGGGGCGAGCGUUGUUCGGAAUUACUGGGCGUAAAGGGCGCGUAGGCGGCGACUCAAGUUAGAGGUGAAAGUCCUGGGCUUAACCUGGGGACUGCAUUUGAUACUGGGUUGCUUGAAUUCGGGAGAGGAUAGCGGAAUUCCCAGUGUAGAGGUGAAAUUCGUAGAUAUUGGGAAGAACACCGGUGGCGAAGGCGGCUAUCUGGACCGACAUUGACGCUGAGGCGCGAAAGCGUGGGGAGCAAACAGG
rnacentral:rRNA from 1 species